rnacentral:tRNA from 1 species
GCUCCCAUCCUCUAACUGGAAUAGGAGGCUGGCCUCUCAAGCCGGUAAUACGGGUUCGAGUCCCGUUGGGAGUA